rnacentral:sRNA from 1 species
UCCCAUCUGAGUACUAACCAGGCCCUACCCUGCUUAGCUUCCGAGAUCAGACUAGUUUGGGUGUGUUCAGGGUGGUAU